AGAGUUUGAUCAUGGCUCAGGACGAACGCUGGCGGCGUGCCUAACACAUGCAAGUCGAACGGAGAUGUUGAUUUCGGUUGACGUCUUAGUGGCGAACGGGUGAGUAACGCGUGAACAAUCUGACCUUAAGAGGGGGAUAACAACGAGAAAUCGUUGCUAAUACCGCAUAAGACCACAAUGCCGCAUGGCGAAGGGGUCAAAGGAGCAAUCCGCUUAAGGAGGGGUUCGCGUCCCAUUGGGUAGUAGGUGAGGUAACGGCCCACCUAGCCGACGAUGGGUAGCCGAGCUGAGAGGCUGAUCGGCCACACUGGAACUGAGACACGGUCCAGACUCCUACGGGAGGCAGCAGUGGGGAAUAUUGGGCAAUGGGCGCAAGCCUGACCCAGCAACGCCGCGUGAGGGAAGAAGGUUUUCGGAUUGUAAACCUCUGUCGCAGAUGACGAAACAAAUGACGGUAAUCUGUGAGGAAGCCCCGGCUAACUACGUG
rnacentral:rRNA from 1 species